AUUUUAACCCGCGGUAUACUG
rnacentral:snRNA from 1 species